ACUCCUACGGGAGGCAGCAGUGGGGAAUAUUGGACAAUGGGCGAAAGCCUGAUCCAGCCAUGCCGCGUGUGUGAAGAAGGUCUUCGGAUUGUAAAGCACUUUAAGUUGGGAGGAAGGGCAGUAAGUUAAUACCUUGCUGUUUUGACGUUACCAACAGAAUAAGCACCGGCUAACUUCGUGCCAGCAGCCGCGGUAAUACGAAGGGUGCAAGCGUUAAUCGGAAUUACUGGGCGUAAAGCGCGCGUAGGUGGUUCAGCAAGUUGGAUGUGAAAUCCCCCGGGCUCAACCUGGGGAACUGCAUCCAAAACUACUGAGCUAGAGUACGGUAGAGGGUGUGGAAUUUCCUGUGUAGCGGUGAAAUGCGUAGAUAUAGGAAGGAACACCAGUGGCGAAGGCGACCACCUGGACUGAUACUGACACUGAGGUGCGAAAGCGUGGGAGCAAACAGGAUUAGAUACCCCUGGUAGGAUAGCG
rnacentral:rRNA from 1 species